CCCAGACUCCGAGCACUCGGAGUUCCGGACGCAAACGUCCCAGACUGCUAUCUGUCGAAUCUGAAUCCAUUGACUCAAGUACCUCAGAGGUGGAAUCCAUUGAUGUGAGCCGCAUUGCGUCGGCGGCGAACAAUAUUGAAACCAAUGAGCAACACUUCGAGCCUCCGUUACCAGACGCCGUCGUGAACUCCUCGGCAGUCACCCUGGCCAGUAUCCAAUGCCUGACAGACGACUUAGUUAGAGAUUACGGCUGCAGCGAUCCUCGAGUCGUGCAAAUUUGUCAGACAUACUUGAAUGACGGGAUUCAACUUUUGAGAGAAAUCUUACCUCCUCAGAUGUUCUAGUCGAGCACAUACACUCACAAUACGGAACAGUCAUAGUACUUUGUAUUCUUCAAUACAUUUUGUAGACCGUGUUGCAAACUAAUAAAGAUUAUUUUUACUACAUAUCUUCUAAAAACGUAAAACCUUACCUUAGUAUUGUGAGAAAAAAAUGCAUACACACUGUAAGAUGUAUUGAAAAAACAUUGUUGUUUUUAAAAAGGUAUCCAAAAGAAGGUUUAGGUUAUAUGACAUGUAUUAUGAAGCUUUAAAUAUUUUAGGUAAAUACUAUUUAAAAUAACACAGUGUCAGGUAUUAAAAAUACGAAUUACAUACAAAUUAUUUUUUUAGGAUGAAAUUAAUAUACCAAAUAUGUAUUUUAUUAUCAAACAUUUAUUUUAAUUACAAGUAAUUCAAAUGCUACCCUACUGGGAGUAUAUUUCCCAGCGUUGACAUUGAGUCGUUACACCGGUGAAAUCAAAAUGAGCGGUCCUCUCACUUCCCAGUGCUGCAAUAACGCCUUUGUUUUCCCAUGAAUAAAAAAUCUAAGAAAAGUAGAGGCUAUUUAUAAUUCUAAUUUAUAAUAUAUAAAAAGUUAAUUUAACUUUUGGAUACUAUUUAAAAACAAUCAUAAUAUAUUUUUUGAAUGUUGUGCACCAUCAAUAUAUACGGUCAUUUUGACAUUGCGUUACUAAAUGAAACCACACACUUAUCUACUUGGAAAUAACACUAUACAAUAAGUUACUUGAGCCGUAAAUGUAAAAUAAAAAAAUGUAAGUUUCAAACAAAAUAGACAUUAAUAGAAAGUAAUUUUAAUUAGACGAGUAAGCUCUGGAAUGAAGUCCGUGUGUCGGUGUUCCCUGAGCACUAUGACCUGUCCUUCAAUCGUGGCGGGGCCGUUCAAGUAUAACGUAAUGCAAUUUUUUAAAAUUUUUGAAUUACUUAUUCAUCAUAAAUUCAGGAUACUAAAACCAGGAUUUUUGGUGAAAAUUUUCGUUAUUAAUGGAUAAGUUUUGGCACGAUGUCAGCAAAGGUGAAGACGAGUAUGUGGCUUCAUUUAGUAACGCAAUGUCAAAAUGACCCUGUAUAUUUGGUUAUUUAUAAGUUUUGAAUAUUUUUUGUACUACUAGUGCCUAAUGCCCUGUACUCACGACGUUUUAAGUCGAUCCGACGACGCGUUUCAAACAAUAAAACGCAGUAAAUGGUAUUCAGUUGGGGGCUGCACGUUUUAAUAUUUCAGAAUAUGGACAUGCACGCGUAAACCUUGUCAGCGACUAAAAACUUCCUGUGCGGACUAAAUAAAAAAUAAUAGUAGAUGUUAUACAUUACUUACGUAAAUUAGUUGCGGAAAUUUUAAAAAUAUAAACACCGCGUCAGCUGAUUACAGAACAAAUGUUUUUUCCGCCUUAAGUCAGUAAUUCAGUAAGUAUUCGUAAAUAUACGUAAAUAAAAUUUGCAAAUGUAAUAUCGAAUUGGAUUAGACGGACGCAAGAACGGCAUUAUCUCAAUAUUUUUUUUUAUUCGUGUUACCUAUUAAGGGGUUAGUAAUCUAUAAAUCUAAUUUAAAAACAAAACAUAGAUUUGCGAGGGAAUUAAAAAUUUGUUGACAAAUGUCUUUGUACAUAGCCUGUUCUUGCCCUCGCUUUUUCUAUACAGUGGGACAGGUGUGCCGCGGUGCUUUGGUGGCGCUGCCGGUGCAGAGUGGCGAUAGUGUCGAGUGUCGACGACCAAGCGGUCGUACAACAUUAUCCAACACGACGCGAGUUUGCGCUAGGUUGAAACCGGUGAAUCAUGUUUUCAAAACAAAAACGGUGUCCAUAUGUAUCCGUCCAAUCGACUCUUAAGGCGUUAAUGCCGGCAGGCAGUGAUAAGUUUUCCGUCAACCCCUCAUUCUGAGUUCUAUGGUUUCUAUACAUUCCCCUACAGGCACAAUUUGUAAAUAAAAAUGCAUUUUCUAAUAUAUUAUUUGUUGGGCUUUUAAUAUAAGUUAGGAUUAAGUUGGAAAGUCCCCUCGUUUAGAGAGCGGGUUUUGGUUUGUAUGCCGGUGUAGGGUGUACAUAAGAUUAGGGACUCGGUCCAAUGAUCGCUCGGAUCAUGCUGAACUCCUUAACAUCAACAUUGGGCCGUAAGACCGGUGAAACCAACAUAACCGUCCCGAUCGUUCCCCAAGUGAUGGUAUCGAUAGCGCG